UGGGGAAUAUUGGACAAUGGGCGCAAGCCUGAUCCAGCCACGCCGCGUGAGUGAUGAAGGCCUUCGGGUCGUAAAGCUCUGUGGGGAGGGACGAACAGCGCAGUGAAGAACUGCGAGUGACGGUACCUCCUUAGCAAGCACCGGCUAACUUCGUGCCAGCAGCCGCGGUAAUACGAAGGGUGCAAACGUUGCUCGGAAUUAUUGGGCGUAAAGCGCACGUAGGCGGCUUUGUAAGUCGGAUGUGAAAUCCCUCGGCUUAACCGAGGACGUGCAUCCGAAACUGCGAGGCUUGAGUAUGGAAGAGGGUCGCAGAAUUCCCGGUGUAGAGGUGAAAUUCGUAGAUAUCGGGAGGAAUACCAGUGGCGAAGGCGGCGACCUGGGCCAAUACUGACGCUGAGGUGCGAAAGCGUGGGGAGCAAACAGG
rnacentral:rRNA from 1 species